rnacentral:lncRNA from 1 species
UGAGUUGAGGCACAUUAUUUAAAUGACUCUAAAUAUUGUUAGAAGGGAAAAGUAAGGAGUUAGUGAAACCUUUUUCUGUUAACUCCCAAAGUAACCAACGGCGUAGAAGAGAGAGAAGAGAGAGAAAGGAGAUCUCGGGUCCGGCGAACGGCCGGCGCGUGAGCGCGCGUGCCGACGCCGGAGCCCCCCUGUUUUUCAUGCAAGAUAUCGUAUUUGGAUCUCUUCACCUUUUCUUCCGGCCUCCGCCUUGUCCGAGCUCUAGAUAGCCUCCAUCUGUGGAGUCUCUUUUUCGUGGAGGGAAGACGCGGUCGCCGGAGUUGAGAGUAUGGUGAAGUAGAUCGCAGUGGUUUAGUCUCGAUUCCGGGAGGUGGAGGCUACGACAGCUCCGCCGACGCCGGCCUUAGUCGCCGAGAGGUGGAAGGUUCUUCAACUUCACCGUCUUUGGCUCAAGCUUCCGGAAGGUGGAGGCUCCUUCAGUCUCACGUCGCCGGCUCUAGGUUUUUUUUGGUGUUCUAUGUUACUUAGAUGGUGGUCACGUUCUUGGCUCGGGAGAGUUUCUCGGCAUAGAUAUUAAAGAGGUUGUUGCUUCGCCGCUGGAGGAGAUCUCAUUAGAGAGAUGAAACUCUCCGACAUCGGUUCAAGAAGUUGAAGAAGGAAGUUGGUUACGGCGGAGGCUCGAAGGUAUUAUGGACUCUGGCGAAACGAGGGUUUAUUUGGUCUGGAAUGGCGGUUUGGUGAGGCGGAGAUGGUCGGGUUGAGACGGAGGGGUGCGUGGUGUACUGACGGUGAAGAUCUCCACACGCGUCUUCUCAAGCCUCCUCGAUGCAUACGUAGCCAAGCCGGGUGGUUUACUUUGGGUCCUGGUGUUUGCGGUGUUGCAGCUCCG